rnacentral:misc_RNA from 1 species
GGAAAAGGUUGUGUCUCAAAGCAGAGCAGUCUCUGUUUCUUUCUUAAGGAUAGAAACAAUAAAGAUCAAAGAGGGAGAAAGCAAGAUUAGGAGUUUUCACUUCUCAUGGAGACGAACGAAAAGCCUCAAGUAAACAACACAAUGAGAAGAGCUCUACUAGUUCUAAACUGCAUCCUCUUAACUAUAGGAAACUGCGGUGGCCCUCUCAUAUUGCGCCUCUACUUCUUGCAUGGAGGCAAGCGUGUUUGGCUC